AGAGUUUGAUUAUGGCUCAGAACGAACGCUGGCGGCAUGGAUUAGGCAUGCAAGGUCGAACGGGAGCAGCAAUGCUCCAGUGGCGCAAGGGUGAGGAACACGUGAACAACCUGCCUUCGAGUUGGGGAUAGCUUCUGGAAACGGGAGAUAAUACCGAAUAACAUCAUCGGAUCGCAUGAUCUGGUGAUCAAAGCAGCAAUGCGCUUGAAGGAGGGGUUCGCGUCCCAUUAGCUAGUUGGUGAGGUAACGGCCCACCAAGGCGAUGAUGGGUAGCUGGUCUGAGAGGACGAUCAGCCACAUUGGGACUGAGAUACUGCCCAGACUCCUACGGGAGGCUGCAGUCGAGAAUUUUGGGCAAUGGACGAAAGUCUGAACCCCCAGCAAUGCCGCGUGCGGGAUGAAGGUCUUCGGAUUGUAAACCGCUGUCAAGAGGGACGAAAUUUGACGGUACCUCUGGAGGAAGCCGCGGCUAACUACGUGCCAGCCGCCGC
rnacentral:rRNA from 1 species